AUUGAACGCUGGCGGCAGGCCUAACACAUGCAAGUCGAGCGGCAGCGGAAAGUAGCUUGCUACUUUGCCGGCGAGCGGCGGACGGGUGAGUAAUGUCUGGGAAACUGCCUGAUGGAGGGGGAUAACUACUGGAAACGGUAGCUAAUACCGCAUAACGUCGCAAGACCAAAGAGGGGGACCUUCGGGCCUCUUGCCAUCAGAUGUGCCCAGAUGGGAUUAGCUAGUAGGUGGGGUAACGGCUCACCUAGGCGACGAUCCCUAGCUGGUCUGAGAGGAGGACCAGCCACACUGGAACUGAGACACGGUCCAGACUCCUACGGGAGGCAGCAGUGGGGAAUAUUGAACAAUGGGCGCAAGCCUGAUGCAGCCAUGCCGCGUGUAUGAAGAAGGCCUUCGGGUUGUAGAGUACUUUCAGCGGGGAGGAAGGUGUUGAGGUUAAUAACCUCAGCAAUUGACGUUACCCGCAGAAGAAGCACCGGCUAACUCCGUGCCAGCCGCCGCCGUAA
rnacentral:rRNA from 1 species